UUGUGGGUACAGAGUGUAGUGAAAUAAUGGCCAACGCGCUUCAGGCUGGAUUUAUGCUUCAUGAGCUAAAAUGGUUCUUAACUAUUUAUGUUGCCACAUUAGGUAGCCAUUCACUUUUAAUGUGUUUCUAAUAAGAAAACACUAUGCAAAGAUGUAUUUUAGCAGAAUUUUAUAAGCCCUCUACGCAAGAGGUAAUAACCAGCAUCCUGGAAAUAAACUGUCACUUUUACUUGCAUUUUAAGCCAGAUUAAUACCUUCCUUUCAUUUAUAACUUGGUCCUAGACUGAAAGCAAAAUCACUAUCCAUUUAUUUCUUAUUCAAAGGUUGGAAGAAAAAGGUACCAAACAAAAUGAUUUUGUAUAAAAAGUUUCCAGGUUCUGGCAGCAAAGGUCUGGAUUAAAGCCUCGGCCUGCCGUUCACCAGCUGUGACUCAGGAUGCCGCUGAAUGUUUGGCUCGGUAGUAAAACGGGAUCAUGUUGAUUCUAGAGCUGUCAUGACAUCUCACCCUUGUGAUUCACACCCUGGACUUAUCUUGACACAGGGGUCUUUUCAAACAUAGACAGUCAUGGGAUAUUAAACUGGAAGGACAGUAGCGAUCAUCUCAUCCCGUCAACUCACUAUGUAUAUGAGGAACCUGAGGUCCAGAGUGGGGAAGUGUCUUACCCGAGGUCACAUGGUUUCAGAGAAAUUAUGUUGAAUCCAAUAAGCCUUCCUGGACAUUCCAAGCCUCUUAACCAAGGCAUCUAUGUUGAGGAUGUCAAUGUUUAUUUCAGCAAAGGACUUCAUGGCUUUUAAAAACUUCUUUUAAGCCUCCAUGUUCUGAUGUCACCUUGGUAGGCGGGGCCCUCUGAGAGCGGGCGGAGAGGGGGGGAGCUCUAGGCCCCGUUGUCUUUGGAUCCGGGAAUGCUAAGUAGAAACUGCAUGAACCACCGGUGCCCCCCACACCCUUUCCACCACCCAGCCCGGUGUUUCCCCGUCCACCACGGGCAGGCUGCCCCUUCCCUCCAGUCAGCACUGUGCUCCUCUUCUUCUGGCCUCUGAGGCAGCCCCUGCCACCCAUCUUUAGAGCCAAUAAAGAGAAUUAAACACCUGUGCACCAGGAGGCAUCUUUUACACCCACUAGACAUUCUCUGGCUUUCCAAAAACAACCCAGCCAGCACAAGAAAGCUGAUGAGGUCCAGCCGGGCUCUGGCCUCACUUGCCCUGCUUGGAAGCAUGGGGUCUCCCUGGCUCUCCCUCGGACACCAGGCUCUCUUAGCGACCUCAUCGCCCUGCAGCCUCCAGUGGGGAAGAGCCUCUAAGCGGAGGUGGAGACGGCGUGGUGAGAGGAGGGGGGAGCCAGGCUCAAGUGUUGGCACCAGAUUAGGGCUCAGAGGAAAAGAAUGGAAACCAAUCAUUGUCUGUAUUUGUUUUGGUGGAGAAAACCAUAGGUUUUUUUUGGACACACAUCACCCCUACUCCCUCUUCUCUCUGGAACGGCUCACAGUGAGUGUGAUGUUAGAAAACUCCCUGGAGAGGAGGAUUUCUCCAGGGCUGCUCCUUGGCCCCUAGAGCUGCAGUUCCGACAAGCUUUGGCUGCGGGAGAUCCUGCCUGUGAACUGACCGUGCCUCUAGGACCACAAGGGACCGAGGGAAUCAGGCACUGAGGCCCUUCCUGCUCGUCCGUGAUCCCAGGAUCUCUUCCCCCCACUUUCACUUAUUCUUGACUCCGAGAACUUUCGGAACCAAUGGAAUCACCAUUUCAAGGCCAAGACGAACUGAAGGGGGAGAGAAGUAAGACUUGGCCUCCUCCAGCCCCUCUCGCGGCACCAAUGGAAGUGUCAUCCUAUUCUCUGGUCAAUGUAUGUGUUCACUUUGCUUGCUUUGACCCAUGCCUUACUCCGGGGCCACCCUCUCCCAAAGACGGGGUUUGUGUCCCCUGUUUUCAGCUAAUCCACUGGGGAGAGAGCGGGGGAUGCCUUCGCCUGCUCCGACAGGACAGGCACAGCGGCGGGGCCUGAACUGCUCCCAGGUCUGUGGCCAUGUUGGCUCAGUGCCCUUCGGGCUCGGCCUGCUCCCCGCAACCCAUGGUGCCUCCGUCGUGGGAGGUCAGCCCAGGCUGGAGCAGGGGGCCUCCCACGGGUGGCUCUUAGCACUGAACGGUGGUGGUUCUUAACCUGCUAAGUUUUGGAGUGGAGUCGCACGACUAUAGAUAGCAGAUUCUCUGCCUCUGGCAAAUUUACAUGGGAAUUAAGAUCCCCACUUAGGAUUUUCCUUCCUGGGUCCUGUGGAUGGUGGUUCUUCAUGCCAGGUCCUCAGCCUGAAUCUGCGGAUACCUCCAUGGGGUUUAAAAACAAAACUUUUUCCAAGUUCUUGCCCCAUAUCUGGGUGACCUCCCAGGCAGCUGAAUCCCCAGAGUUUCAGGUUCUCUCCAGGGCCUUGAGGUGUGUGUUUCUUCAGCCCCUCCCAGCUCCCCACCAUCCUGCUCCCCAGUGCUUCCCGCCAGGCUGUCCCCCAUCAUGUCCUGCUGACCCUUUGGGCCAGGGCCGCCUCCUGAGUGUGGCUUUAAGGAGUAAGCUUGAGGAUGAUGCUUUUUAAUUAUUGUAAAUCAUUACCUCAUUUCCAGCCUCCGAGGCUCCAUCCAUCCCAGCAUCUCCUAUCCUGCCAUUUUCCUCACCUUGUGCUAUGACAAUGGGGCGUUGUGUUUCCACAGAGACUUAAUAGGAGUGUUCAGUGUAUAGUUUCUUAAUAAACACUUUAUUUUCUAAUGAAAUGACUGGAUCAGACCUCUUAUUUGGCAAUUUUGCAAAGAAUAUUAAUGAUACAGGAAUUC